GACGAAGGGGGCUAGCGUUGUUCGGAAUUACUGGGCGUAAAGCGAGUGUAGGUGGUUGUCCAAGUUGGAUGUGAAAGCCUUGAGCUCAACUCAAGAAAUGCAUUCAGGACUGGGCGGCUAGAGGACCGGAGAGGAUAGUGGAAUUCCCAGUGUAGUGGUGAAAUAGGUAGAGAUUGGGAAGAACACCAGUGGCGAAGGCGGCUAUCUGGACGGUUUCUGACACUAAGACUCGAAAGCGUGGGGAGCAAACAGG
rnacentral:rRNA from 1 species